rnacentral:rRNA from 1 species
CCUACGGGUGGCAGCAGUGAGGAAUAUUGGUCAAUGGUCGGGAGACUGAACCAGCCAAGCCGCGUGAGGGAGGAAGGUACAGAGUAUCGUAAACCUCUUUUGUCAGGGAACAAAGACUGGGACGCGUCCCCGGAUGAGUGUACCUGAAGAAAAAGCAUAGGCUAACUCCGUGCCAGCAGCCGCGGUAAUACGGAGGAUGCGAGCGUUAUCCGGAUUUAUUGGGUGUAAAGGGUGCGCAGGCGGUCCGUUUAGUCAGCGGUCAAAGCCCCGGGCUCAACCCCGGCCCCGCGUUGGAAACUGGCAGUCUCGAGUUGGAGAGAAGUAUGCGGAAUGCGCGGUGUAGCGGUGAAAUGCAUAGAUAUCGCGCAGAACUCCGAUUGCGAAGGCAGCAUGCCGGCUCCACACUGACGCUGAGGCACGAAAGCGUGGGUAUCGAACAGGAUUAGAUACCCGGGUAGUC